GAUGAACGCUGGCGGCGUGCCUAAUACAUGCAAGUCGAGCGAACGGACGAGAAGCUUGCUUCUCUGAUGUUAGCGGCGGACGGGUGAGUAACACGUGGAUAACCUACCUAUAAGACUGGGAUAACUUCGGGAAACCGGAGCUAAUACCGGAUGAUAUUUUGAACCGCAUGGUUCAAAAGUGAAAGACGGUCUUGCUGUCACUUAUAGAUGGAUCCGCGCUGCAUUAGCUAGUUGGUAAGGUAACGGCUUACCAAGGCAACGAUGCAUAGCCGACCUGAGAGGGUGAACGGCCACACUGGAACUGAGACACGGUCCAGACUCCUACGGGAGGCAGCAGUAGGGAAUCUUCCGCGAUGGGCGAAAGCCUGACGGAGCAACGCCGCGUGAGUGAUGAAGGUCUUCGGAUCGUAAAACUCUGUUAUUAGGGAAGAACAUAUGUGUAAGUAACUGUGCACAUCUUGACGGUACCUAAUCAGAAAGCCACGGCUAACUACGUG
rnacentral:rRNA from 1 species